CGAGUCACACAGAAUGGCAUAGUCCGUGAUGAAAGGCCACUUUUCUACACAGCCCCUCAGCCAUCACCUCCCUUGUGUCAGAGAGGGAGUGCUCGGCCAGAAGGAGGCCCCUGUGCAGGAAAUUAACGGUGAUAUAUUCCUGUAGGUGUCCAUUUUAUCAGUGCAGUGCCCGGAACAGCCCAAGUAAUGGUGGUGGCAGCGCCUGAGGACACCUGCCGCCCCUGCCCCUCCACACACCUGGCCUGAUGUCCCCCUGCUAGCCAUGGAACACCUGACCGAGCUGAACAAAAGUGGUGUGCUGGUGACAAGGAGUUGACUCAGGGCAACAUGGAGGUGCCUACCUUGGGGCACCCCCCCACUGAUGCCAGGGACCCCAACGCUUUGGCACACUUGGGCUCCUCCACAUACCGCCCACUCUUCAGAAAGCCAUCGAAGAAGCUGAGUUUCCUACAGUUGCAAAGAAGUCGUGAAAUAGAGCAAAUUGGCUGGCAUAGUUUCAAAUGGCAGAACCAGAUGACCCACUCCCUAGUGUCUCGACUAGGUAUCAUGAAGGAGUUAGAGGGUCACAGAGGAUGUGUUAAUUGUAUUGAAUUCAACUCUGAGGGAAGUUUGUUGCUGUCGGGCUCAGAUGACUAUAGCAUCAUAUUGUGGGAUGUCUACAGGCAAAAACGUCUCAAAAUAUUAUCUACUGGACAUAGAGGCAACAUUUUUUCAGUUAAAUUUCAGCCUCAAAGUGGAGACCGAGUGGCAAUAUCAGGAGCUGGGGACGGUCAGAUAGAGGUCAGGGAGGUGGAGUCCGAGGACGUCACUCACAUAUGCACGUGUCAUGAGAAGAGAGUUAAGAGGAUCGCCACAGUUCCAACCCAGCCAAACAAUUUUUACUCAGCCUCGGAAGAUGGCACAGUGAUGUUAUAUGACAUGCGAGCGCCACACACCUGCAAUUCUCAGACCAGCAACAUCCUAAUAGACCUUCGCAGACACGCUGGCAGCACUGUAGAAUGCAGGUGUAUUACCAUCCACCCGGCUCGUCCUGAACUGAUCGCCGUUGGAGUAAAUGAUCCGUUUAUCAGAAUAUACGACAGACGAAUGAUUAAAGUUAAUUCUUCGCAGUACUUUUCAGGAGCAUCCUUGUUGAACCAUUUGGAAAGAAAUAAUUACAAUGCCAGCCACCUCAAUGGUUCAUCGGAUAAUCUUCCACCAGGUUGUGUUCAGUAUUUAGUGCCAGGGCACUUGCCUGACCGGCUGCGAGAAUUCCACCGCCAGGGCCGGACUCUCUCGACCACCUACCUGACGUACAGUGCUGACGGUUCACAGCUUCUGGCCAACCUGGGGGGAGAGCACAUCUACCUCUUCCACAUGGCGAACCCCCAGUACCCCAGACACUAUGCAGCCCCAAGUGCCACUAAAACCCGCUUAUACUCCAAAGAGUCUGAGGAAUUGUCCAACGGUGUUUGUAAGUCUGUAAGUGCCAAUACCAAUGGCAUAUCUAGUCACCUUACUGAAGGAGGAGACAGAGUGUCAGUGUAUUCCUACCCGCCAGUGCCUCCCCUGACUCCAAGAGCUGAAUCUCUCAAGGCCAGGGCCAACCAAGCUUUUGCUGCUGAGAAGUACAUAACAGGUUUACAGUUGUACAACCAAGCAGCGGAGCUGAGUCCUAACUCUGCAGUCCUUUAUAGCAAUAGAGCUGCAGCACUUAUAAAGAGAAAGUGGGAUGGAGACAUUUAUGCAGCCUUGAGGGAUUGCUUCACAGCGCUUGACAUAGACCCACACCAUGUAAAGGCUCAUUUCAGGCUGGCCAGAUGCCUGCACCAACUGGGGCGAGAGGAGGAAGCAAAGCUGUGUCUAGAAGAGUUCAUGAAGCAGCACCCGGACCACAGCACCUCCCCAGCCUGCACCAUCCUGGCCAGUGACAUAGCCAAGGCGAUCAUCAACAAACAAAGAGAAGAGUUUCCUCCAGGUCCAGAAAUUGAUGGAGAAAACGAUAUUCCAUUUCCAACGCCGAGUGCACAAGAGCAGAGCUGGCGGGCACAGGCCUCGGACUACCAGAAGUACUACUGUGGGCACUGCAACACCCUCACCGACAUUAAGGAAGCCAUAUUCCUGGGCAGUGAUGGAAAAUUCAUUGCUGCCGGUUCUGAUGACGGUAACCUGUUUGUGUGGGACAGUCAGACCACCAACCUAAUACGAGUGUUGCCUGGCGACGAGUCAAUAGUGAACUGUGUCCAGGCUCACCCACACACCUGUCUGCUGGCAACCAGUGGAAUAGAGUCUGUUGUCAAGCUCUGGGCACCCCUUCCACAGACCGACAAGAACAAAGAGCCAGCUGUGGACAUGGAAGAGAUUGCUCAAGCAAACCAGCAACGGAUGUGUAUCGAUCACAAUGAAGUCAUUUUCAUGCAAUUCUGGGAAAUUAGUUAAAUACGAACGAACACCUGACGGUUCUGCUUGAGAAUUGUACCCUCCUGCUGUGAUGGGCUGAAUGCUGUAUAUAUCAGGUCACAGGGUUAAAAUAAUGCAUCAUGGUAAUUCCCAAAGACGGACUGACUCACCAGUGGCCUCAGCCCCUAGAUCCUGGCCUGCUAGGGUGAAUGUCCUUAAGGGGAUGGAUCUUCAGGACACCACAGUGGCAAGACCCUCAGCACAACCCAUCUUGGCCGGCCUUCCUCUUGUCAACUUGAUCUAGUCUUAGUGUGGGACUUAAAUUGGCUGUUAUUUUGAGUACUAUAUGAUUUUUGUUUUGCUUGUUAUGAACCUUUGUUGCAUUACACAGGGUACAGUAUAAUCAAUAACUUAUAAUACUUUAUGAGGGGUAACAGAAAACUGACGAAGCCGUGGACUUUAAUGUGAAAUGUGAUAUUAUUAGAGGUGGUCUGCAUCGUAACGGUGACUCAGGCCGACUAGGUGAGCUGCUUUAGUUAGUAAGAGCCAUUGCCAGUCUGUGUAAGAAAGCGUGCUCAUGAUACUAGGUGGAGGUGUGGUUGAGAAUGGCGCAGCAGUUAUAUUUUGCAGCACAGUGCCCUAAUUGAAAGUGUCACUACAGACUUCUUAUAUCAUCUUGUUUAGUUCAAUGAGAUACUGCCAACCACAGCACCUCCACCAAACAGAGGCAUCUGGAAAAGAAGGGUCAUAAGGAACAUAGCUAUUCUUUUCUGAUUUGCAUUUAGAAAGUCAGGUUACAUAUCCCAGGAAGAAGACAGAAGUUGCAAGGGAAAAUUGACCCUCAGUACACUAUAUACAAGUUCGUUAUUCCCUUGCAUCCUGUCUACUGUUCUUCCUGCGAUGUGUAGUCUGACUUUCCCAGUGCAAAUUACAAAAAAUGGCUGUCCCUUCUCUGGACGCCUUGACUGUCACAGCAGCAUAGCACAGGCAGUGGCCACGGAAUCCUUGUCUCGGCCUUCCUGUUGUGAGACGAGAGAGCAAGCCGAGAUGAUUUAACUACCUUUUUUUUUUUAUACCCCUGAUCUGAGUGACCCUUAUGAUGUUACAAGUAUUGAAAGUUGGGAAAUGUUUAGUUGCAUAUCUUGGCAUUGUUUUCAUGGUCUGAAUUACCCUCACAAUGCAGUGCCUCACUUAGAAUAAUGAACAAACAAAAUGUGAUAGACCAAAAAAAGAAAAAAGGUUUUGUUUUCCAUUGUCUAGGGCAGGUAUUCACACUGUGUUUACAACUUUAUCGACACACCUCUACUUACACACCAAUCAAUACCAUGUACACAUGUGAGCCUCGGCCUUUACUCUUAUGUUAAACUAUAUGGAUUUGAGUUUUUGGGAAGCCAACCCUUUGUGUACUCCUAGGUUUACACCAUUACAUUGUCUCCAAAACACUGGUACUAUGAAAAAUAAAGGACAUGGUACAAAGCUAUCUGUAACUAUUGCUUAUGUAUAUAAAAAUGAAGUUGCUUGCUUUAUACUGCAUGUGUAGAUAUAGCAGCCUCCAGCAUGCCAGCGUGUGCAUCUGGAAGACACUAUGCCGAUGCAGAUUUACUGAUUACUGAUACAAUCUUAUUUGCUGGAUUAGAUUAUUUAUUUGGUUCUUAGGUCAGUAUUAUAAGACACUUUGGCUUCUCACAAUCAGCUAUUUUUAAAGGUCAAAGAGGGGGUCAGUCGGGUUCUAGUGAGUGUUUCUUCAGGUUCAUGGUACAGAAGGGCCAAACUACCACCAGGGUCAUAAAACUACUACUGGUAAUGCCCACAAUUCCUAUGAAAGCCUUGUCAAAUAUGUGUUCUUGGGCGACGAAAUGUCUUAUAAUACGACCCUUAGUAAUCAUCAGUCCAUUUUCUUUUGACGAAUUUCUUGUAAUGUGUAUUAUGAAGCUGUAACUUUUCCUUUUCCUUUGUAAAGUUUAUAUUCACACUAAUAAAUAAAUGAGGUAAAUGAGGGAUUCA